CGUAAUGUGAAUUGCAGAAUUCCGUGAACCAUCGAAUCUUUGAACGCACAUGGCGCCUGCUCAGCAUUCUGGCAGGCACGCCUGUCCGAGCGUCAUUUCCACCCUCGAGCGCCCGCUUUGCGCGGCGCCCGGGCGUUGGGGCUUCUUUCUGCGCCGCCCUCUUUGGAGGGCACGCAGGCCCUGAAAGUGAGUGGCGGGCUCCCCCGGUGGGCUCCGAGCGCAGUAACACAAACGCUGACCGCUCUGGAUGCUCUGGGAUUUUGGAGCCCAGUCUUCAACCAAAUUUUAUUUUCUGGUUGACCUCGGAUCAGGUGGGAUUACCCGCUGAACUUAAGCAUAUCAAUAAGCGGAGGAAAAGAAACCAACAGGGAUUGCCCUAGUAACGGCGAGUGAAGCGGCAACAGCUCAAAUUUGAAAUCCCGUCCUCGUGGCGGGAGUUGUAAUUUGGAGAGGAUGCUUGGGGCGCGGCGCCCACUGAGUGCCUUGGAACAGGCCGCCAGAGAGGGUGAGAGCCCCGUACGGUGGGAUGCCUAGCCCGUAUCAAGCUCCUUCGACGAGUCGAGUAGUUUGGGAAUGCUGCUCUAAAUGGGAGGUAAAUUUCUUCUAAAGCUAAAUACCGGCCAGAGACCGAUAGCGCACAAGUAGAGUGAUCGAAAGAUGAAAAGCACUUUGAAAAGAGGGUUAAACAGUACGUGAAAUUGUUGAAAGGGAAGCGCCUGUGACCAGACCUGCGCCCCGCGAACCACCUGGCGCUCGCGCCAGGGCAAGCCGCGGGGUGCAGGCCAGCAUCGGCUCUCCUAGGGGGACAAAGGCCGCGGGAACGUAGCACCUCUCGGGGUGUGUUAUAGCCCGCGGUGUCAUGCCCUUGGGGGGGCCGAGGACCGCGCUUCGGCAAGGAUGCUGGCGUAAUGGUCACCA
rnacentral:rRNA from 1 species